CACCCCUCAAGCCUGGCUUGGUGUUGGGCGACGUCCUCUUCAGGGACGCGCCUCGAAACGUUCGGCGGCGUGGCACCGGCUUUAAGCGUAGCAGAAUCUUAUCUUUCGCUUUGAAAGUCGGGGCCAUGUCUGCCGGAAGACCUACUCGCAA
rnacentral:misc_RNA from 1 species